ACUCUUACGGGAGGCAGCAGUGGGGAAUAUUGCACAAUGGGCGCAAGCCUGAUGCAGUGACGCCGCGUGGGGGAUGAAGGCCUUCGGGUUGUAAACUCCAAUCAGAAGGGACGAAGCC
rnacentral:rRNA from 1 species